rnacentral:lncRNA from 1 species
GUGCAACUUUUCAAAAUCGCCUAAAUUGUGGAUUAAUUUCUCGCUGAAACGCAGUCUUGACGGCCUUGAGGUGGAUUAAAAUAAUGUUUGAUAAUAUUUGAAAGAAAACUUACGGACUCUAUUACUUUCGUAGGAUACACGUCAAUGUAACCUUCAAUCAGUUAAUUUUUUAUAAAGCCUACCAAAUUGCAAAAUAUUCUUCCAAUAUUUCAAAUUUGCUCAUUGCUUUCAGGAAUUAGCUGAUAUAGAGUAUGGUAUAUCUUUCCGGCAUGCUAUCGAGUGGUGAACAACGCGAUCAUCCAUCGUCAAUUUUUAUACUUAUGUCACUAUUUUUUCAGAGGAGUAAAUCAUAUCGGAUGGGACGCAAUAGUGUGAUGGCUACUUAUGAGUUACUAAUUCUGAGAACGACACGGCAUUAUAGACUUAUCAUAGAGAGCCUCUUCUUAACCAAGAAACCUCGAAUAAAAUGGCCAUUGAUGCUUUUAAUCCUUACCCACCAUGUCCUACAAAUAACUGGGGCUAUUUUAUUUAUGAUGGGAUCAAAGGCGAGCGCUCAUUCCAUGAUGGCACCUGCCACCCUGGCGCGGAAAAUGCACGGUCUGAUAGCACCUUUGAGUUACAUAUUAAAUGUUCUUUGGUGGCGUCAGAUGGACUAUUUGGAGGAAACCCUCCAAGAGGUCAACGAAAUUUUGCUUCGCGCCAAGGUAUGACUUUAUAUCUUUCCCCCUCUUGUUACAUUAGACAGACAUGCAAGAUAUGUGUUAUUAAUUUCCAUGUAAACUGUACAUCCAAUUUUGUUCUCUUACAUUAUUUUGAUUACAUAAUAAUUAAUAAUAAAUUAGGACCAAAAAUUAGGUUUUUUAGAAUUAGACACACACCGUAGGACAAACAGGUAGGCAGAGUUCUAGCCGUAGUGGUGGGUGAGAGCACGGCGAAAUCAAAUGAUGGUGCUCCAGGUUGGGGGUUGGGUCAUCGGGCUGACUUCUGCAGAUAAUCAUGAGAAGUUCUACGUUAAAAACCCCAAAUCCAUUACGAGAAUCGACAAUAGUUACGAAAUCGGAACCUUUUAUAUGAAACUAAGAAUGUUCGGGGCACUUACAAGAAAUUUACGUAAAUUGUAUUCUAGAUAAAAUAAGUCGCGAUGACGAUUCGGCCAUUUUGACAGAGAGCAUUAGAUAAACUCCAAAAUUUCGCGCCGGUACUCCCGUAGUGUUAAAUAAAAGGUGUUAUUAGUGGUUAGUUUUUUUUUUUUUUUUUUUUUUUUUUUUUUUUUUUUUUUCUUCUAGCAAUACAAGGCGUGAAUUUUCAUUUUAAUCCGACAAUCUUGAGAACUAGGCAUGGCAGACUUAAUGAUUACAGGAUGCCACACCUCUUUGUCCGAUACUGGAAUUAGCCCAUAAUUCAUUAGGCUAAUUUGAUGUGUAUAUUUUUUUGUUCGAGCAAAUGUCUCAAUUUUCUGGCCCAAAAACUGAAUCUGGUCCAUCGGACGAGUUGCAACCGAAUAUAGUAGACGAAAUUUCAUCGUACGAAAAUUGAGGAUAAAACACGUAUUUCAAUACCCGUGCGACGUAAAGACUAAUAUCGUCUAUACACUCCUUUUGCAGUUCCCGCUCCAAGAUUCUUUGCGCGCUGCUAUCACGGUAGAAUUGGAGUCCCGACAUCGGUCAAUCAUCCUCUACAUGAAGUCAGUCUCACAAAUAUUGGUUUUGUUAUACUUUCUUCCUCCUGUAAUCGCACUAUUCUUCAACCCCUCAUCAUCACGAACGCUUCGUCUACCAAUGGAGAUGUCGGACCCACUCUCUCUCCUCGGAGUCACAUCGAAUGACGUCAUCGCAGUACUCAUUUACUUUAGUUAUUUCGUCUCUUACUUGGUCCACAACUAUACCUUAUACACUGGAGCUGCGAUUCUCAUCGUCACUCUUGAUUCUCUGAAGACAGCGUUUCGCGUAUGCGGGCUUUGCUUGGAAACCCUCGGUCAGGGCGAAUCUGCCGAUUGGGAGCAAUUUGUGGACGCUGUUAAGCUUCAUCAACGCUUGUUUAGGUGAGAGUAUAGCCUAUAUAGCCUGUGUAGCAAAAUUGAAGGCUAAUAAACCUCAGAUGAAGGGCAUUUGCCAAUAGGUUUGUUUCGUUGUUCAUCCUGGCUCAAAGAAACGUGUGAUGCAAUGAAGCUGCGUGGAGCUCUAGGUCGUGUUAGGAAUUUGCGAUAAGCACUGAUUCCUACGUAAAAUUUUGCGAGGAACUCGGCUGCUUUUCUCUGAAAUCAGCUCCAAAGCUCAAAAAGCGCUCGAAGUUGAGGUGGUAAUGGAAGAAAUAUCUCACGCUACCUUUUGAGUCCACCACUACACUGAAAAAAAGUUCUGUUUUCACAAACCAGAAUUCUGGUUGUAUUUCGGAACCAGAUUUUCUGGUUGAUUUAACCAGAAUUACAGUUGACUCAACCAGAAUUUGGUAGAGUCAACCAGACGUCUGGUUGAGUCAACUGUAAUUCUGGUUAAAUCAACCAGAAAAUCUGGUUCCGAAAUACAACCAGAAUUCUGGUUUGUGACAACAGAACUUUUUUUCAGUGUACAUCAAAACAAAAUUUCAAUGCAAAGAUAAAGAGCUAAGGUAUUGACAGCGUUGUCACUUUGUGUAGAGACUCCAAAACUGAAAACUCGGCUUCCUUGCUCAUGUAUUUGUUCCUCGUAUUUGCAUAGAGAGUUUGUUUUGAUAUAGAGGUGGAUUCCAGAGUAGCCUGGGAUAACCUCUCCAAUUCUCCAUUAUGGACUCAUUUUUGAAAGCUUUUUUGAGCUUCGGAGUUGAUUCCGGAGAAAACCAGUGGCACCAUCGUGUUUCUCGCGGAAUUUUUCAUAGGAAUCAGUGCUUGGAUCUCAAAUUCCUGACGCAAGCAAGAGUUCCAUCAUGCGUCGUUCGGAAUACAUAACUCUCCGUGCUCUCCGGUAUACUUUUGUUGCCUAACAGCAAAAUUGAAGGCGAACCUUGGAUGGACGAUGAUUAAAGUUCUCAUCGUCAUUUAUCGGUUCAAUUAAAACUCAAGAAAGGAUCAAUUUGCGUGUAGAAAUCCACUCGCACUUAAUAUUUGUCACCUAUGCGGCAAAAUUCGUCGCUUGGCUGACAUGAAGGCGUAACUACACAUUGAGAUGAGCUCGGAAAAGCAUUGAAAUGUAUGGAUGACAGGGUUCAUUGAAGAAUGUGG